rnacentral:piRNA from 1 species
UAAUCUCAUCAGUUGUUCGCAGUAGAUU